GGGCUCCACAGGGCCCUUUGGGUGGGUGGUUUUUAAAAAGGCACUAUCAUUCAAGUAAUAACUACAUGUGGUAAAAAAUUCAAACAGGUCUUCAAGGUGUAAAAUGAAGGGCAUGCCUUCCCCAACUCACCCUUCUGGCCUGACCCUUAUAUGCAUUUCCCAGGGGAAAAUCAAGGUUAAGUUUCUUAAAUACCCUUCCAGAAGUUCUAAAACGCACAAACA